GAGAAAAGAUACAUUUCAGUCGGCUUGGUCAAAGUUUUACCUGUAUGCAGACAGAGUACAAUGCCAUCUGGCAUCUGCCCAUCUCAUCUGAAAUAACCACGCCAGAGUAUACUUUACGCAGGUGCUCGGGUUUUUCCCCUGCCGACUGCGGAAAUAUCGAAAUAAAAUUGUCCGGAAAUCUUUUUGAGACAAGUCCGACUUGGGCAGAAACACAGCGCCGAAUAUCCUCAGCUCAGCAUUGCCCUUUGGCGGAGGCCAACUCAAGCCACGAGCAAAGAAACGAAGAAGAGACUCGAAAUCCCCUCCCAAUUUCCUCUCCUCCCACCUCCGCCAUAAGCGAUCGACACCUCAUGAAAGGCCCCGGGUCCUCUCCCCCUUCUCCAUCAAGCCGCUCACUGAUCAUCUCGUGCGGAGGAUGACGUGCUUCUAAGGACGAAGCAAGUCACUGAAUCCAUUCUCAAGGGCUAGCUUUGCUGGAACUUACACUGACACAGCAUGCUGUAUCAUCUUGACAAACUGUUGUGAUGCUGCUAAUGUGGACAAUGUUGGUUGGUGGAGGACAAAGCAAAUCUACUCAUGCUCAAGGGCUGCUUUACAUGCUGGUACAGGUAAAUUUGCCUUUCAUUACCUUACUCGGAGGUAUCUGCAAAGACGAUCCCAAAAGUCCAUCAGUUGGUAUCCUGUCAAUAAGCUGGAGCCACCUUGAUGACCGUUAAUCCGUACAAGGUGUCCAAACCCAUUUUCAUGAACUAUGCCAUGCAGCAAAUGGCUCGGAUUGUCAAUCUGCACAUAGUCCCAGUCUUCUGAUUCAUCUGGGGCGAACCCUGAACCAUGACUGCAUGAGGGACACCUGAUAUUUGCAUGACAAGAUUAAACUAUUGUGAUAUCUGAAGAUACCAUCGCAGUUGAUACUGUAGUUUUAUUUGCCAUCGUAAUUACUGUUGCAGCCUUUUUGCAAUGAUAUUACUGUCACAUUAAUUUGCAGUGAUAUUGUUUGGUUGCUUUAUUAAAUUGUGAAUACUGAGCCUUGGUGAUAGAACCAACCUUGUUUGGAACAAUUCAACCAUGAGACCACAACGCCGGCAGGUUUUGCAUCUGGGCAUGUUGUCAUUCCGAAUUAUGAAGUGGUACUUCUUUGCACAAACAGGGUGCCUGCUCCAGCCUAUCAAAGUUGAACAAAUGAGGUGACGUCAAUUUUCAUCUCAAGUUGUACAUUUUAUCAGCCAUUGACACCAUCAGGCAUCAGGUAUUCACAUGUGGAAAAUUCAUGUCAUGAACAGAAAUGACUGUCCAUCUCAUCAGCAGAUAUGGCUUUAAUCUCCGAAGCAAACACAGUAGAUUUCAGAUCAAUUUAGAACAAGUUUAUGAGGAUAUUUAGUUGUAAUUCAUCAGCAGAUAUGGCUUGAAAGAGCUGCUAUGCUCUAUAAUUAGGCGAGUUGGUGUAUCAAUAUGAGGUGGGAAUAGGCUGUUGGACAUUUUUUACUGUCCAGCCUCGGUAUUGUAUUUCCUGUGUUUUAAUUUCUUGUUUCUUUUCCGUCCUUUGUAUCCCAUUCUCAUGAAUAAUAUGCCUCCAAAAGCAUACAUAAUUUAGUCAUAGGCAGCCAUUUAUAAUCAGCCAAUAAGGCAACAAUUGCGGUGCAGGUAGAUUUAAAAACGAGAGAUGCGGAGGUACGAAAGUGUUUACUC